ACCCUCAAUGGCUCAGUAGCCAGUGUAGAUCCUGUCUUUUGUAAUCAGCAGCUACAUCUGGCUACUGGGUCUCUGAUGGUAUCU
rnacentral:pre_miRNA from 1 species